GUCAGGAUGGCCGAGUGGUCUAAGGCGCCAGACUUAAGAUCUGGUCCUCAUAGGAGGGCGUGGGUUCGAACCCCACUCCUGACA
rnacentral:tRNA from 1 species